rnacentral:lncRNA from 1 species
AUCCCUUGCUGGCUGAUUUCCUCGCAAGACUCCCUAGCUGGCGACUUGGAAAAAAGUCGAUCACUUUUUUCGAAAAAGUCGAGGAGCUUUUGUCGUGAGUAUCUUUGAGUCACAGACGGCGCCAACUAAUGGGGGUGAAACCCGACCAGUACUCCAAGACGCGCAAGCAAGCGCCAAGCGGGGAAGUCCGCGGGAAACCGG